GACGAACGCUGGCGGCGUGCUUAACACAUGCAAGUCGAACGGAAAGGCCUCUUUCGGGGGGUACUCGAGUGGCGAACGGGUGAGUAACACGUGAGUAACCUGCCCUUGACUUUGGGAUAACUUCAUGAAACUGGGGCUAAUACCGGAUAGGAGCUCCUGCUGCAUGGUGGGGGUUGGAAAGUUUCGGCGGUUGGGGAUGGACUCGCGGGUUAUCAGCUUGUUGGUGGGGUAGUGGCUUACCAAGGCUUUGACGGGUAGCCGGCCUGAGAGGGUGACCGGCAACAUUGGGAAUGAGAUACGGCCCAGACUCCUACGGGAGGCAGAAGGGGGGAAUAUUGAACAAUGGGUGGAAGCCUGAUGCAGCAACGCCGGGUGCGGGAUGACGGCCUUCGGGUUGUAAACCGCUUUCGCUCAUGACGAAGCUUUGUGUGACGGUAGUGGGUAAAGAAGCACCGGCUAACUACGUG
rnacentral:rRNA from 1 species